rnacentral:rRNA from 1 species
GGAGGGCGCAAGCGUUGUUCGGAAUUACUGGGCGUAAAGCGCGUGUAGGCGGCCAGGUAAGUCGGAUGUGAAAGCCCGGGGCCCAACCCCGGAACUGCACCCGAUACUGCCUGGCUGGAGUCCCGGAGAGGAUGGCGGAAUUUCCGGUGUAGAGGUGAAAUUCGUAGAUAUCGGAAGGAACACCAGUGGCGAAGGCGGCCAUCUGGACGGUGACUGACGCUGAGACGCGAAAGCGUGGGGAGCAAACAGGAUUAGAUACCCUGGUAGUCCACGCCGUAAACGUUGGGUGCUAGACGUCGGGGGUAUUGACCCCUCCGGUGUCGAAGCUAACGCAUUAAGCACCCCGCCUGGGGAGUACGGCCGCAAGGCUA